GCCACCGUAGCUCAGUUGGUAGAGCAGCGCUUUUGUAAAGCGUUGGUCGGGGGUUCGAAUCCUCCCGGUGGCU
rnacentral:tRNA from 1 species